rnacentral:rRNA from 1 species
UACGUAGGGACCAAGCGUUGUUCGGAUUUACUGGGCGUAAAGGGCGCGUAGGCGGCGUGACAAGUCACUUGUGAAAUCUCCGGGCUUAACCCGGAACUGCCAAGUGAUACUGUCGUGCUAGAGUGCGGAAGGGGCAAUCGGAAUUCUCGGUGUAGCGGUGAAAUGCGUAGAUAUCGAGAGGAACACCUGCGGCGAAGGCGGGUUGCUGGGCUGACACUGACGCUGAUGCGCGAAAGCCAGGGGAGCGAACGGG